UGGCUCAAAACUGGCGUUUGGGGAUCGGGAGACAAUUCCGAGAGAUUUUUUCUGUCCGAGCCGCCACUUCAGGUCCUCGAGGCGAACGUACAUGGUUUGGAGCGUUUGGGUGUAACUCCCACAGGAACAAGGCAUGCAGGGCCUGCUUUCUAAGUGAGGAUGGAUGGAAGGGAAGAAGACAUCUGGCUCAAGGGUGCAGUGACAGAGACAACAAGGAGUGAAUCUGGGAUGUUCAGGAGGCCUGGCCUGCUCAGAGAAGCUGUGCCUUGAGGGCUGAGCCAGUGUGGACAACCUUGCUGCACAUUGCCCAAGCCCAUCCUGUGUGUCCUCCCUCACCUGGGACCUGCUUUGCUUGGAGAGCUGCCUGCACUCAGGAAUAAAGGGGGUUUUUAGUUUUUGAA